rnacentral:rRNA from 1 species
ACGCAUUUAUUAGAUAAAAAGCCAGUUCAUGCUUUUAUAGUAUGAAAAUUGGUGAUUUAUAAUAACUUAGCAAAUCGCAAAGUGAAAACAGGCGAUAAAUCAUUCAAGUUUCUGACCUAUCAGCUUUCGACGGUAUGGUAUUGGCUUACCGUGGCAGUGACGGUUAACGGGGGAUUAGGGUUCGAUUCCGGAGAGGGAGCCUGAGAAACGGCUACCACAUCUAAGGAAGGCAGCAGGCGCGCAAAUUACCCAAUUCUAACAGUUUGAGAGAGGUAGUAACAAGAAAUAACAAUACAAGGCAGUUAAAAUGCUUUGUAAUUGGAAUGAUAGAAAUUUAAACCCUUUUUAAAGUAUCAAUUGGAGGGCAAGUCUGGUGCCAGCAGCCGCGGUAAUUCCAGCUCCAAUAGCGUAUAUUAAAAUUGUUGCAGUUAAAAAGCUCGUAGUUGAAGUUCUGCUGAAAGUAACCGGUCUGCUUUUAAUAAAAGUGGUAUCUUGGUAUGUAUUUAGCAAUGAUGUCCUUUGAAGUGUUUUUUACUUUAUUGUAAUAAAGCAUAUUCAGGACUUUUACUUUGAGAAAAUUAGAGUGUUUCUAGCAGGCUAACGCUUUGAAUACUGCAGCAUGGAAUAAUAAGA